UUUCUCGGGUCAUUUACGCGCGUGAGUAUUCGCCAUCCUCGCGACGCAGAGGCUCACAAUAGCUUCCUAGGGUUUCGUUUGUUGGCAAUCACGAUCCUAACCUAACCCCUUUCUGAUUACCUCACCAAUCUUCGAUUCCUUGCUUCGAAUCUCCAAUAUCGCCAGCGUGCGUGAUAAACCCUAAAGAAACCCUAAUUUUCCCAAUCACAAAACUCAUCAACGAGCCAAUGGCGUCUGGUGCUAUAGUUCCCAAUGCGAAGCAUAAACGGAGUGAAAUUAGCAACAAAAGAUUGAAACCCACGACGGUGGUGCGACCGAUUCCGCUCGUGAUGAUGAAGAUAAGUCUAAACUCAACCUCAAAGCUCGAAGUUCGCAACUUGAAGUGGAAACUAACAGCUGAGCUUGAAAAAGUCAGGACCUUGAUCAACCGCCUCGAACCUGUCCCCGACAAGACAGCGAACAAUGGUAAUAAGGGAGGCUCCGACAAAGCGUUUUGGAAACACAAAGUUCAAGAAUGAGACUUUGGUGAUUUUUGCUUAUUUCAGUAUGCAAAUAAACCAUGGAGUCUGCUGCAACAAGUGCAGCUGUAUACCAGACGGUCAGACGACACGACGACUUUGAGUCUUAAGUAUCUGAGCUCACACAUCGCUGCAAUCCUUCAUUCACUCCGAUAACUUCCAAUGUAGCACAAGUUUUCUGGAAAUAUCAGCAGGAAAGGAUCGAACGUAAAAGGGUAUUCUCAGUAGUCGUUAAUGUAUUUGUGUGAGCUAUUUGGAGGGUAUAAACAUGAGUUAUGGAUUAUAUUUUCGUGGACUUCAAGGACCCUAACUAGGACAGGUUUGUGUUGAAAGCUGAACCCUUUCAGAUAUACACUUUUAUU